GACGAACCGUGCGAACGUUAUUCGGAAUCACUAGGGCUUAAAGGGCGCGUAGGCGGGUCGGCAAGUCAGGGGUGAAAGCCCGCAGCUCAACUGCGGAAGAGCCUUUGAGACUGCCGGUCUAGAGGGAGGUAGGGGAGUGCGGAACUUCGGGUGGAGCGGUGAAAUGCGUAGAUAUCCGAAGGAACACCGGUGGCGAAAGCGGCGCUCUGGACCUCUUCUGACGCUGAGGCGCGAAAGCCAGGGGAGCAAACGGG
rnacentral:rRNA from 1 species